rnacentral:rRNA from 1 species
UACGAAGGGGGCUAGCGUUGCCUCGGAUUGACUGGGCGUAAAGGGCGCGUAGGCGGUUCGUACAGUCAGACGUGAAAUUCCUGGGCUCAACCUGGGGGCUGCGUUUGAUACGUGCGGACUUGAGUGCGGAAGAGGGUCGUGGAAUUCCCAGUGUAGAGGUGAAAUUCGUAGAUAUUGGGAAGAACACCGGUGGCGAAGGCGGCGACCUGGUCCGAUACUGACGCUGAGGCGCGAAAGCGUGGGGAGCAAACAGG